rnacentral:rRNA from 1 species
GACGAACGCUGGCGGCGUGCCUAAUACAUGCAAGUCGAGCGGUCCCUUCGGGGAUAGCGGCGGACGGGUGAGUAACACGUAGGCAACCUGCCUGCAAGACCGGGAUAACUAUCGGAAACGAUAGCUAAGACCGGAUAGCUGGUUUCCUCGCAUGAGGGAAUCAUGAAACACGGGGCAACCUGUGGCUUGCAGAUGGGCCUGCGGCGCAUUAGCUAGUUGGUAGGGUAACGGCCUACCAAGGCGACGAUGCGUAGCCGACCUGAGAGGGUGAUCGGCCACACUGGGACUGAGACACGGCCCAGACUCCUACGGGAGGCAGCAGUAGGGAAUCUUCCGCAAUGGACGCAAGUCUGACGGAGCAACGCCGCGUGAGUGAUGAAGGUUUUCGGAUCGUAAAGCUCUGUUGCCAGGGAAGAACGCCAUGGGGAGUAACUGCCCUGUGGGUGACGGUACCUGAGAAGAAAGCCCCGGCUAACUACGUGCCAGCCGCCGCAGUAAAAC